GUUGAGCCCUGAUUGAAGUGACAUCUUUUUUGCUUUUCCAAAAAGAUAUAGCGGAAAGCAGGAAAUAGC
rnacentral:sRNA from 17 species